GUUUCUAUUUUUAUUCCUUUCUUUGAUUCACCAUUUCUUUAGUUUACCCAUUUUAUUUGUUUCAAUAUAAUUGCUGAUUGUCGUUUCAUUGGAGUUCAUUCGUUUUCCUUUUUUUUUCACUGUUGACAUCAAAGUUUUAUGGAAUUAGUAUUGUGGUGGCAAAUCGAUCGUUUGUUGGCGUUUGGGAGGACGUUAAUAGUCGUAAUUGCGGAUGGAUAUUGUGGUUUAAUUUCGUGUUUUGUAGCAAGGGUUGGUGUGGUCCUAUGUUUGCAGAUUUUUCAACUUUUUACAGUUUGUAAUUUUCUGUUUCACCUUUCUUGCUUUUUUUUAAAACUUGACUUACGACUUGCAUAAUUAUUUUGAUAGACUUAAGACCUACCCAUUAGCACUCAACCACUUUAUGGUGUGCGAACCACAAACGAACUAUUCUAUGUUCUUGGAGUUAUUCAUUUCUUAUGGUUUCCCACUAUAUUAGCUAAUUUUAAUUUUCUUUUCUUUUUAUCAUUUCUUAUAUUACAAAAUACCCAUUUAUUAUUAUCAAGACAAGGAUUUUUCAUGCAUCCAAUUCUUGACCGCUUUAGAUCCUGCAUUAGGUUGUUUAGUUAUUAGUAAUGCUCGUUCCUCAUUUUCAUUUAUAAGUUAUCUUUGUAUUUUAUGUGGACUAAUUGUCUUUAGUGUCACACUCAAAACUACUUUUCAUGAAUUCAUUUAUGUUUUCUUCCUUGAUGACUUGUUAUAAUAAUUUUGUAAUAUGAAAUUGAUUGAAAGUGUUAAACAAAAUUUACGUAUGUCGAUCAUCUGACUAAUUGAUGUUGGUUAUAAAUAUGUUUGAGAGCCGUUGGUAACUGAAUAUGAGAAUGUUCAAUUCUAUAUAUCUGUAUGUAUAAUACCAUUUGCAUUUGCAUUUGUGAUUGGGACAUGGUUUUGAAGUGAAGGAAGUUUGUAUUAGCAGUUUCGCUACAUCUUUAUAUUUUUAGUAGUAUUUCCGCAUUACUAAAAGUGGCAUACUACCACUCCAUGGUGUGGAUUGGUUGGAUGGGUCCGCCAUAACCCGAUAGUGGUGUGUAGAGGAUGGAAGGGUUUAAAAAAGACCCUAUUUUUAGUGUGUGACGGUUGAUUGGAGAUGAUGUGUAGAGACUAUAUAGGUGGGGGUUUUGUGACAUUUUGCAUUUGAAUGCAAUUUGCAUGUUUGUCUAAGGAUAAUGUGAAAUAAUGCAUUAAAUUCGAUGUGAUAUUUGAAAUUGUAUUGAUCUCGGUCAUUGCGAGUUCGAUCAGUUCUAUGUGUAUACGUUUUUGCUUAUCUGCUAGGUGUUACAAAAAUGCGAUAUGCCAAUCUGAUAAGAUUUCUGUUAACGAUUCGAUUUAGUUAUUUUGUAAUACUUAGUGAACUGUUCGACUCUGUGUAAUUACGUUUGCUUAAGAUUCACAUUAAGCUUUCGUAGCUCACUCCCUUAAUUUCUCCUUUUCAGGUAACCCUCGUAUUUAGGUGUUGGACUCGGCAUAUCGGAGGUCUCAGAAUUUUUUUUCAAUUCGGUUUGGUUUUUAAUAAAGUUUUUUGUAAGCUUUGAUAAAUUGUUUUCAUACAGACUUUAAAUAAAUUUUAUGGGCUGUGGUGUAAGUUUCAUUUGGACUUGUAAGUUG
rnacentral:lncRNA from 1 species